rnacentral:rRNA from 1 species
CCUACGGGAGGCAGCAGUGGGGAAUAUUGCACAAUGGGGGAAACCCUGAUGCAGCGACGCCGCGUGAGGGAAGAAGUAAUUCGUUACGUAAAGCUCUAUCAGCAGGGAAGAAAAUGACGGUACCUGAGUAAGAAGCCCCGGCUAACUACGUGCCAGCAGCCGCGGUAAUACGUAGGGGGCAAGCGUUAUCCGGAUUUACUGGGUGUAAAGGGAGCGUAGACGGGGUGCCAAGGAUGGAGUGAAAUGCCGGAGCUUAACUGCGGAAAUGCUUUUGAAACUGGCGAUCUAGAGUGCGAGAGGGGUAAGCGGAAUUCGUAGUGUAGCGGGGAAAUGCGUAGAUAUUACGCGGAACCCCGGUGGCGAAGGCAGCAUACCGG